UGCUAGGACCACAGGGGGAAAAAGUGUUUCGGUUUUCUUAUAAUUUCCUGUGGAAACUUUAAGGUGGGAGUUAAUAGAUUUAAUAAAUCUUUCCCAGUAUACUAGGUAAGCUCUUAGAAGUUUUUCUGACCGGAUAAAUUUUAAAUCUUUCAAGGUAACGUUCUUAAAAGUUUCAAAGCAACCUGCUUUUACCAGUAAAUCUCAAAUAAUUUUCACUACACUGAGUAUAUUUUCUCCCUCAUCCAACCAUCCUGCUGCAGUCAAGGAAGGGGGGAGAAGUCUGAACAAUCUUCCCUGUUGCCAGCUCUUCCAGGGUAGAUGCGGAUUCUAGACGCAAGAGGGUCCAACUCAGAGACAUGUGUAGAAGACGGCGAAGCUUCCAAACUACAAUUCCCAGAAGGCCUCGUUCAUCCCAGGAGCAUUUUCCAAAGCUCUCUGACGUCACUUCCACCCUGCCUUCUUCUCGCCUUUUCCAUGCUUUGUUGUGACACUUUUCCUCUUCUCUCUCCUGACCGAUCCGGGACGGGGUGAGCGGGAUCCGAAAAUGGAGCCGGGUCCAGCCAGAGACCGACUGCAGGGGAUCUCGGCCUCUUGUGGUCUCUUUUCUGCCCCUGAGGAGAAGGAGGCAAUGGCCCCCGUAGUGACCGCCGAGCCUGGCCAGAGAAGGAGCCCUACUCCCUUGGGAUCACAAGCACCAACAUUCCUCUCUCCCUGGAACUGUGAUCAGGAAUGAGGACUCCUGUUGUCUCUCUCUCUAUCCUGGAAUUGUGACCACAGCUGCAGCUUUUGUCUCCCAAGCACUUAUCUUCACCCUGCUACUUCAACCUAGAACUGGGUCAUGCGUGGCUCGCUUCAACACUGAGAUGAUUCAAACCAGUUCCACUUGUUUAGUGAUGAAAAGAGCCAUCUACACCCAGAAAAAGAAGCAUGGAAAGAGAGUGUGGAACACAGCAUAGCAUUCUCACUCUCUCUGUUGUUGUUUGCCUGCAUUUUUAUUUUCUUUUUCAGUUUUUCUUUUUCUUCCUUCUUGAUCGGAUUUUUCUUGUGCAGCAAGAUAACUGUAUAAAUAUGUAUACAUAUAUUGUAUUUAACAUGUAUUUCAACAUAUUUAAUAUAUAUUGGACUACCUGCCAGUUAAGGAAGGGGGUGGGGAGAAGGAGGGGAAAAUUUGGAACAAAAGGUUUUUCAAGGGUCAAUGUUGGAAAAAUUACCCAUGCAUAUGCUUUGUAAAUAAAAAGCUUUAAUUAAAAAAAGGAAAGGAAAAAAAAAAAAAAACUGGGUCAUGCAGAAUUGAGUUGCCAAGAGGCCCUUAGCCCCACACCUAAUACCAACACAGAAAACCCUUGUCAUCUCUUUUUGACCAAUUUUCCAGUUUGUUUUCUGUCUCUAGGUCAUGAGAGUAACAUGAACUGCUGCUGCUGCAAACUCCAAAAUUGGUGUUGCUGCCAUGUGCACUACUGGCCAGCCCCUAUUCCAUUGUCACAAACUGUACCUUCUGACCCCCUAAGUUGUCUUGGCCUGGAAAAAUGUCUCAUGCUAAUUUUUAGUUGUUUCUGCUAGUUAGAAUUUGAUUUGAUGCAUUAUUUUAAAGUUUUUGUAGGGGAAUAUUAGGAGAGAUUGGGAAUGCCCCUUCUCUGCAUCUUGAUUCUACCUCCUACUUUAUAUUUUUGAUACUAUAUGCGUGCAUAUUGUUUCAACCAGAAGAAUGUAAACUCCUAGAGAGAAGGGAAUAUUUUAUUUUCCUUUGACUCCACUCCCUAAUAUAGCCCUGCACAUGUUAGGCUCUUAAUAAAUGCUCAUAGAUUACUAAAAGAGCAAGCCAAGGCUCUGAUAGUGGAAGUGACUGAAUGUUUAGUCAAAGCCAGGAAACACAUAGCUUAGUUUUCAUCAAGGUAUAUAAACCUCAUCUCAUAUAAACCUGUCCAUGACUGUGAUUGCAAAAUCAAAUUUUAUCUUACUCAGUACAGUUCUACUAAGUGACAUAUCACAAAGCAUGCUUUCCUUGUGCCUAAUUUUCUUUUCACCUAAUUUUAACUUAUCCAUAUGUUUAUUCAUUCAACACUACUUCUGCAUGGUCAAUAUAAAAUUCUGAGUGACCAAAUUUUAGGGAAAAUUACAAUCCGUUUUAUCAACCAUAGUCAGCAAAUGAUUAAUAAAAAGCAAUUAUUGUCCUCUUGAUGAUCAAAAAGGAAGCAUGAGAUUUAUAUGUCCUUGGAUGAGAAGUAAUGAACUCUGAUUGGUCAACAAUUAAUGAGAGUUGAACUUUAUGGAGAGAAGUGAGUUUACUCCAAUGAGGAACUGAGAAUGACAUCAUGGUACUCUUGGAUAAAGAUUAUCCCUCUAACCAGACCACCCCCAGUCUUGGACAAUCUAGACAAAGGAUCCAACCAAGCAGGGUUGAGUGAAAUUCAGCUUAGAUUAGAGACCACUGAUUAAUCCAGGAAAUCAGGAAGGGAAAAAGAAAGUAGGCUCUGAAACCAGGCAACUCUAUGCACAGGCCAAAGGUAAGAAGGUGGACUAUCUAGCAUUGCCUUUGGUGAUUGGGGCAUCUUAUGAUGUGCUGAGGUCUGAGACAAAUAAGUAAGAUGAGGGAAUUUAAUGGCAUCACAUAAAUAAGGGGUAACAAGGGAACUUCUGUGUACAUUCUUUCAAGUAGUCCUAAAAGAGUGGAUGACAGGAAAUCUAAAGUUAUGUAAAAUAUUAGGGUGGUCUGUGACCACAGGAGUGGAGAAUUUCUACAAAGAAGUGCAGGAAUGAUCUGCAUAAGAGAUAUUUACAAGAAACUCUAAGGGAGACUGAAUAAAGAAGCAGGGCCUGAGGGAAGAAGAGACUCUUUUCCAGGAAACAUUCCUCUAAAAGGAAGUAAAAAUUAGGAAGAAACAAAUGUGCCCUAGACAGAAAAGGAAUUUAAAAUCUCUGUGUGUGUUCUAUGUUUCUUUCUCAGUUAGCUGAAUUAUAAAGAAAAAGAUCUGGCCAUUUAGGAUUUUAAAAGCACAUGUUUUAUGUCUGUUUUAUUUCUCACUUUGCUUAUCAGGCUUCUUUAUUCAAACUAAUCUGAAUUUUUCUUAAAAGUUAAAGUUUUCUUAAAAACAGCCUCUCACCUUUGAAGAGACUGGGGAAUGGCCAGGAUUACAACUUGUGAGGUGGUAUGUCCAAUACAACCUUUUCAAAGAAUUGUAGGCUCCCAAAACCUUUACCCCAUACCAUGGAGUCAGCCUCAGUUUCUCUCCAGAUGGGGACUUCCUGAGUCCAAAAAUUCUUUUCAUAGUACUUGGAAGGAUGUGGUCUUUAUCCAAGUUGGCUUGGGGAAAACUAAGAAAAUUCUCUUUAUACUUUAAAAUCUCUCCCUUCUCAAUAGGAGCAGUAAAAUACAAGCCAUCUACAUGGGUUUGAGAAUACAAGUUUUGCGGGGAGAUCAGAACCAUUGCCAUUUUGCUCCCAAGGACCUGUGUUUCCAUCUCAGGUCUCUUAAUAGUUUCCUGUCAUUUAAAAAAUAUUAGGGAGUCUAGAAGAGUGGAGUUUUGAAGGGGAAGAGUUUUUCCCCAAAAAAGUAUCCUAAAUUUCUAUGUGUUUAAAUUUAAAUUGUAUGUGAUUAGAAUUACUUUCACUUGAUACAUUUGGGAAUAAGAUUUUAGAAAUAUGUGUGCAUUAAUAUUGAAGUGUUGCAACUAAAAAUAUAAAACUGUAUUUGAUUUGAUUUUAAACCCUCCCCCAAAAAAUAAAUUCUCUGAUAAUUUACCUAAAGAAGUCAUAUGUUUGUAUCUUUUAAUUAGAUGAAAUAUAUUUAAGGUACUUUGUUGCUUUCUAAAUUGUAAAAAUUGUAUGAGCCAUAUUUUAAAAUUUUGUCAGCCCUGCUAGACAUGUGCUAGAAGUUUGUGAAGUUUUGCCCAAAAUAAUUGAAGUAUUACCUAUAUUCUGAAUCUUAAGAUUUGUCUUGCUUUCUCCUUUUAACAAAGAAAUAUACUUAAAAGAGUAGAAUUUAUGAAAUUUUAUAGAAAGUUUUUUUUAAAAAGGGUUUUAAAAACAAGGGGCAAAAAAGGUUAAUUGUAAAAGCAAUUGAUAAGAUUUGUAAAAGGGCAGUAAGAAUUUUAUAGUGACAUAAAUAGGAAUCAGGUUUGUGGGGCUAUGCUAGUGAAAAUCUCAAGAUGAAAAGGCCAGCAUCUUGA